ensembl:snRNA
AAAAAGUAGGAAAGGAGAUAAAGACAACCUCUCAACAAGGAUGGAAGAGGCUCUUGUAGCCUCUACAGCAUAUGCACAGUUAAGGCAUUACUACCUACUUGUGGUUUCUGUUUUUA